GCAGCAUAAUUAACCACAAUGCAGCAUUAUUAACCAAAACGCAGCAUUAUUAACCACAACACAGCAUUAUUAACCACAAUAUAGCAUUAGUAACCACAACACAGCAUUAUUAACCACAAUAUGGCAUUAGUAACCACAACACAGCAUUAUUAACCCCAAUGCAGCAUUAUUAAUUAACCCCAGUCCUCACACCAUACAUCAGAUCCCUAGGUUUAUUCAUCCUAUGUAACUGCAGCUUUACAUUUUUCACCCUAAGUCCAUUUUCCUUUGAGCAUCUGCUGCAUGCCCAGAUUGACCAAUGCCAGCCUCUACCUUGUGCUCCUCUUUUCUUUCACCAGGUGGUCCUCCCUGCUUGGUGUAGACAACUCCCACUUCUUUUCUCCUGUCUUUCAUCAAAAUCUGCUGGGAGCAACAGACCUGAUGAACUCUUUCAUACACUAGAAGGUAUAAUGCAGUGAGAUGGUUGACCACCUUCCCCUUCCAGAGGUAGUUGUAUUUCAGCACAGCCGGACGUCUCAAAGCAAGAGUGUUGAUCUCUACAGUUUGUUCAUGGCAAGCUCCUGGCAGCAUCAUUGUGAGAGCAGGGAAGAUGGACCACCAUGAGGGGCACCUCGUCUGCUUAUCACUAUGGGUAGAGUUGGUUCUGAACACUUGCUGAACACUUAACAAAAGCCUAGCAUGUAAAGAGACUGAGAAAUGAAUUCAAGACACACACACAUACACACACACACAUAACUGCAGGUGGCACCAGCAAGCUGAAAAGUGACAAAUCACUGCUUCGCAAAUCAUCCCAGGUAUCUGCCUGUCUUUCUGUUUUUUUCCUCCUCCUCCCCACUAGCAUAAAUAGGAAGCUUAGGUAAAAUUUCUCAUAAAAUUUAGAAUUUGGUGCCAAAGGGCAUUUAAUGCUGUUGAAGGAUGGAGUAGGUGGAUUUAUUUCCUUUAGAUCCUAGUUAAAUUGAAAAACCUUCUAACUAGCUACUCUUUCUAUUUCCCCUAGAAUAUAAACACAGAAACUUAAGAAGUCUCUAAACCAGCAGUUCUCAGCAAGGGUCAAGUGUAUCAGAAUCACCCAGCAUGGAUUGGAAAAGGGACCCCUUUAAUUGUCUACCACCCAAGGACUGUGAAAUGUUAACCUGUGGAUAAGGUGCUCCCAUUUACUUACCCAGCUUGCCACUGUAUUCUCUACGAUGGAAAUCAAGUAUUAUUGCCGAUGGCAGUGGAAAACCACUGGUGAGCUGAGAUGACAAGAGACAGAAGACCACUUCUCUGGUGUAAAGCAAAAGUAUGCAGGGGCAGUAAUUUUACUGAGGGAUCCACCUCACCCACCUCUAUCCCCACUCUAUCAGAGGACUUGAUCAUAAAUAGCAGUCAUUGUUCUUCCAUGAAUGCUUUGCAACAUUUGUAUGCAUGUUUUGCAAUGUUUCAAAAACAAUAUUUUAUUAAAUAAAUGAUUUCAAUACAGUAAAAAGAAUGGUUUUGCUGUCUGAUUGAAAAUGUGGAUAGAGAAGAAGGAAUUGAUUACAAUGUCGAGAAAUGUAAACAACUAUUCCAAGGGGGUUUCUGUACUGAUCUCUAUGUGCACAAAUGAACUAU